rnacentral:tRNA from 1 species
GCCGGGGUAGCAAAGUCUGGCCAAACGCGUAGGACUUAAGAUCCUAUCCCUUAGUGGGUUCGCCGGUUCAAAUCCGGUCCCCGGCA